rnacentral:lncRNA from 1 species
CUUUCAGACAUGCACAGAGAAGCGAAUGAGCCAAGCUGCCUGACCCGCACGUUCCUGAUGGAGGCUGAAGGACAGGAUGCCCUGCCUUGUUUCCUCUCCUACUACAAGAGACACACUUUCACACGCGCCCCAGAAUAAUGUGCAAGAAUGUUCACAGCAGUAUUAUGUCCAUCAACAACAGAAUGGACACAGAACUUGGUACUCCACAGUGUGAAGGUACCACAGCAGCAAUGAAGGGCAGCCACUGCAGUUACACGCCAUCAGCAUGGACUCAUCUGUCAACCCCCAACAGAAGGAAGGCACAAGAGAAUAAAUGCAGUACGAUUCCACAUGUAUAAAGUUCAAGGGCAUGCAAAGUGAAACUAUAGGCAGGCACAGGAGGGAAGCAAAUUGAGGAUGAUUAUCACAAAAAUCAGGUUAGUGAUGAGGCAGCCACUGGGAGAAACAGGGAGCCUGUAGGCCCUGAAAAUAUUCUCUUUCUUAACUUGGAUGGCAGGUUGCUACAGGUUCACUUAAUUAUAAUUCCUUUAAAAAGUGAAUGCAUGUUUCACUUCAGAUUGUGUAAUUUUA